UACGUAGGGCGCAAGCGUUAUCCGGAAUUAUUGGGCGUAAAGAGCUCGUAGGCGGUUUGUCGCGUCUGCCGUGAAAGUCCGGGGCUCAACUCCGGAUCUGCGGUGGGUACGGGCAGACCAGAGUGAUGUAGGGGAGACUGGAAUUCCUGGUGUAGCGGUGAAAUGCGCAGAUAUCAGGAGGAACACCGAUGGCGAAGGCAGGUCUCUGGGCAGUAACUGACGCUGAGGAGCGAAAGCGUGGGGAGCGAACAGG
rnacentral:rRNA from 1 species